GACACCCACCCACCUACCUACACAAAUCACAGCACACACAUUCGUCGCACACUAUCCACACACUUCGUACAUACUUUAAAAAUGCAAAUCCACUUAAAUCAAUUUAAAAUCCAAAACUAAUCGAGAAACACUUGAGAAAUUUGAAGCAAAAACGCCAGAUUUUCGUGGCACUUCAGCACGAAACUUUAGAAGCCUAAUUCAAAAUGAGUGUUUUAGUAAAAAGCCAUAUUGGUAGAUGCAGACGAGUCUACUAAGCACAACUUCCGGUCCCUAUUCUAGUGAAAAGAAAGAGUCAGACAACGGGAUUUGUUUUCUUGCCGACAGAUUAGCAUAAUGAUCAUUCUGGACUUUUUCCACAAGAUACAUAAGGAGCUUAGUCGUUCUUCCUGUCAUUGUGAUCUUUUCCUGUCCUUAGAUUCUUACUAAUCAAACUUGUUGCUCUAAACACAAAGGUUGGAAACCUAGGUAUGCCCCCUGUGCUUAGCAUUUCAACGAGUCUCACUAUGAUUCCAAAAACCGUGUUUAUAAUUCGGUGAUUCGGGUGACACUUGUCGAAGGCAGUUGUUUGCUUUAUCGAAUGCUUGCUUUUAGCUUGAGAUGGCCAGCACGAUCUAGCAAAGCAAACAAGCUAUUUGAUACAUGUACAAAGUGUCAGACUGUACUCUGAUUUAGCUUAUGUCAAGGUUGAGACUCACCGUCAUUACAGAAUGAUGGUGAUGUCGUAUGAUGGUGUCUAAAGUUCGACGCUGCUGCCCUCAAGAAUUAAACGCGUAGUAAAGCAAGCUGUUUGAAAACCUGGGGGAAAAACUGAAAUUAGAYUUGCUGGUGAAGUGGUCUGCCAACMAGAAGACGAACUCAAGUAAAUAUUUCUCACAGGAUCCAAACAAGUUAAGGGAAUAUGCUUUAAAGAUGCGCACUUUCGAGGUACGGCUAAUUUUUAGUGCGACACACCGUUGAGUUCAGGUCACGACAGCUCAGGCUAUUGCAGUGAUAUCAUAAGCGUCGUCAGUUAAUGUCAAGGUAAAUCAGUGCAGUUAAUUCUAGGUCUUGACAUCGCACGCACGAUAGCAUCGCACCUUGUAUUGUGUUGCUAUGGAAAACGAUCACUGUGCUCUUGUCCGCUGUGAUCUGAACCACGAUAUGAAUUACUAGUCGAGGCAAAUUUUAUCAGAGUGAAAACUACGGUACGUUGAGGUUCCGUGCCGUGCCGUGAUCGUGGUGGCGCUGUGUAUAUUGUGUGGUUUUGCAAGCAGUARGGUAUCGCGUGGUGUGAUUGGUGCAAAGAAUGCCGUACAGCAAUAGCUUUACCGUAUCGUACUGUUCACCGUUAUGCGAAUUCUAAUUUAUUAAUAGUGUUUGGAAACUUUAUAUACAACUACGACUAUCAUCAUCGACAUCACCACCACCACCACCACCAUCAUCAUCAUCAUCAUCAUCUACUACAAAAACAACAUCAACGCCAACUACCAUAUUAUUAUACAUCAAAUUAAUUAAUAAUCGAUUUGAAUUAUAUCCAAUUACAUCGAAUCAUAACAAAGUUUAUCUUAUACGCGGUCACCGAAAAAACAACUAUUAUAUACCUUUCAAAUGAUCUACACAUGUUUUCUGCACUCAUUCAACAUAACUCUGGUUUGUGUUUAACCCUUGUGGGCCACCGUAUUAGAUCGUCACUGAUAUAUUUAUAAAUUCAGGAUUGCGUCAAGUCGAAUGAUGUCACGUGAUCGCACCAACCAUCGUUUUUUUUAGACUCUGUUUCAGUCAAGGUGUUCAACCCACAGGAAUUUCGUUUCAAACAUCGCAACAUACAACGAAUUUAACCUGAGAUGAGCUGGCGAUGGUUGAAUUUCUCAUGAACGAGGACUGCUGUUUUUUUUAAAGAGCUCAUAGAUUGUUAGUUCCCGGAUUAUUUUGAAGGAUAAUAAGAAGACAUGUUUUGCAAACACUUCUCCGUGUUCAGUCGGCCCAAUCGCCGCGUGCUUUAUAACUGCGCACAGCACGCGAGCACGUUCUCUAUUUCUUCAAUACAAACAUUUCUCAAGAAAAAAAUUUAAUAGACCAAAAAUGGUUUACAAUGGACGCGGUGACUUGCUCCGACGUUAAUUUUAAAAUGUUGCACUCUUGUGGCAGCUAGCUUUCUUACUUGUAAAAAACGUUUUUUCGAGUUCUUCGAGCGGUUGAACUAAUGGCGUAAAACGAAUCAGACUCGGACAGAAACUAGACAGAAAUAGAAGAAUUCUCCCAUUGCGUAUUGCAUGCACCACAAUGUUUAACAUUGGUGUUGUUAUGACGAGGUUAUUGCGUCGAUUAUUGUAAUAAAGUCCUUGAAAGCU